rnacentral:rRNA from 1 species
UAAUACGGAGGGUGCAAGCGUUAAUCGGAAUUACUGGGCGUAAAGCGCGCGUAGGCGGUUUGUUAAGUCGGAUGUGAAAGCCCGGGGCUCAACCCCGGAACUGCCUCUAAAACUUCCAAGCUUGAGUGCAAGAGGGGAAAGCGGAAUUCCAGGUGUAGAGUUGAAAUUCGUAGAGAUCUGGAGGAACACCGGUGGCGAAGGCGGCUUUCUGGAUUGCAACUGACGCUAAGGCGCGAAAGCUAGGGGAGCAAACAGGAUUAGAUACCCUGGUAGUCCUAGCCCUAAACGAUGGAUGCUAGGCGUGGCGGGAGUCGAUCCCCGCCGUGCCGAAGCUAACGCGUUAAGCAUCCCGCCUGGGGAGUACGGUCGCAAGGCUG